UACGUAGGGGGCAAGCGUUGUCCGGAAUUAUUGGGCGUAAAGAGCGUGUAGGCGGUCCGGUAAGUCAGCUGUGAAAGUCAAGGGCUCAACCCUUGAAAGCCGGUUGAUACUGUCGGGCUAGAGUCCGGAAGAGGCGAGUGGAAUUCCCGGUGUAGCGGUGAAAUGCGCAGAUAUCGGGAGGAACACCAAUGGCGAAGGCAGCUCGCUGGGACGGUACUGACGCUGAGACGCGAAAGCGUGGGAGCA
rnacentral:rRNA from 1 species